rnacentral:tRNA from 1 species
GAAGGUAUAGCUCAAUUGGUAGAGCACAUGCUUAGCAAGCAUGAGGUCCUGGGUUCAAUCCCCAGCAUCUCCU